CGGUCCUUUCUGAUCGUGAAAUUUCUAGGGUAAGAUGACCUUUCAGAAUUUUGGAAGUUUUUUGCUAUAAAUUCAACAAUAGAUGUGGUUGGCUUAGCAACAGCAACAACAGGAACUACAACAGCAGAUGUGGGCUCAAAAACGUGUGCAAAAAAUGUCAGCCAACCUCCGCAAUAUCCGCCAGCCAACGUUGGUGUUAAUUGAAUAAGCCUGCUGCAGCUGGAUCUUCAUCUGUGUCUGCAGACCUUCUAAUCCGCAUUCUCUCCUGUGUUGAGCAAUGAUUACGACAUCUCAUGAUGCUAAUCUCUUGAAGUUGCACGAGGUUUCACCUUUGGCUCUCAAACCUAAUCCUUACCUGGCGCAAGAGUUAUUUAAACAGUGGCUUUUGCUUCCUGAAACCAAUUGCCUAAUUGAUGCCCAUGUUGUGGCAAGUGUGGCAACUUUCACUUUUCCUUGCUCUAACCAGGAGCAGCUAUUACCUGGUCAAGUCCUUAUGCACUUACAAUGUUAUGAUUAUGUGGUGGCUUCUAGGUUGUUUUAGCACCAUUUAAUAUCAGCAGAUUGCAGCCAUGGGGUCAGAAGGUAGUAAAGCAGGGGUCUCAAUGAAGGGUUCUAUUGUUUUCUCCUUGUCCUCCAUCGUCUUAGAAUCACAAGGAUGUCUUAGUGGUGGUUGAUCCACAAGAUUACUCUGCUUUGAUAGAUUAUCUCAAUGGAGAUCAGGAUGACCAACAGUUCCGUAGGAAGCUUGUCUGGAAGGCUUUUCAGCACGUGGCUGCUUAUGAUUCCGCAGUUUCAGAGUGGCUGUGGAAGGAGACUGAAGGAGGUAUGUCUAUGUAUGUAUUAUGAGCUAUGUAUAACACUUCCUGUAGAUGGUAGGACUGGCAACUAGCCUUGUCUUUUUCUUUGGGUCAGGAACCCAGGAGAAUGUCCUGGUGCCCUUUGUAAUCGAGUUUUCCCUUUUUUGAUGCUGAGUGAGGUUUACAUUGAGUCUGCAUGAUAACGUUUGGACUCGACCCGGCCCAGCCGAGUCGAGCUCUGCCCGCACAGCUAGGAAGAUUAUCCGCAUUUGAGCUGUUUAACAGAAUUAGGAAUCGCUAGUUUUCCGCGAAGACUUAAUUUGCAAAUCCUUAAAUUUACUUCCUAUGUCUGUAAGUUUAGGGCAAUCAAAUGCAUUUCCCAUAUUUUCAUGAGGAACAAGCUCUCUGCAAUUCCAGGGCUGGGCUUUUACAGGCCUCUUUGCGAUUGUGGGGUUAGUGCUGCUUGCUUGGUCCCCCUACUCUGCCUAGGCUGGAGGUUCAUUAGAGGCACUUAGGUAUGGACAUUCAUGUGGUAUUAUUUACACAAGAGUUUCAGUUAACAUGCUGUUUGCACACUUUUGUUUUGGAAUGUUUUUUCUGCACUACUCCCUGUUGUAGGUCACGUCUUUGAUCUACUUCAUAUUUUCUGAUAAUUCCGUUGAACCAUUCUACAGUUAAUAAGUAGCAUAGUUUUAAUAGUAAAAUUAUCUUUUGUGCUUUAAAAUUGCUUACUGUAAACUGCCUAUUAGAGAAUUUGUUAAUGCUAUCUUUUGUUAAACUUGCUAUUACUAACUGAUAAUGACUAUUGUGUUUUGCUAUGAGCUAAUUGUGAACUACUAAAGCCAAACAAGGCUUGAAUUUUUUAAUGUCUCUGUUGCAGCAUUUUUUAAUGUUUCCAUCUCAUGUCUCUUCACCUUCUUCAACCAUGACUUCCCCCUUUCGGUAAGUGUAAGUCUUCCUUUUUGUAUAGCAGUUUUUUUUUUUUUUUUUUUUUUUUUUUUUUUUUUUGUAUUGUUGUUAAUUUUUUUUUCGGGGUUUUUAAUGUUUUACUUCAAUCAUGAAGUUUGGUUACUUAUUCUUUUUUUGGUGAUUUAUGUGUAUGUGGAUGUUUUUGUAGUUUACAUUAGCUAUUAUUUCCUGUACUUAUAGCUUGUUUUGCUCAUAUAUCAUAAAACGUUGAUACUUCGUUUUUACUCUGGGUUGAUGGGUUUUUCAGAUAUUAGUUUGCUUAAUCAAGAAUUAUCUAUUGAUUAAAAAAGGAAAUAAAUUGGAAAAUUAUGAUUUUUAAAGAGAUAUCAUGCUUGGGUUUAUCUGAUUUUAUAUUUUGAUAUUAGUUUGCUUAAUCAAGAAUUAUCUAUUGAUUAAAAAAGGAAAUAAAUUGGAAAAUUAUGAUUUUUAAAGAGAUAUCAUGCUUGGGUUUAUCUGAUUUUAUAUUUUAUGUCUUUAGAUAGUUGUUGUUUCGGGUAAAAACUUGUAUUAAGUGGGAAUGAUCGAGAUUAGGGUUGAUGAAGGCCUGUCUGCUCGGAGACCUGCACAAAGCGAAGGUUAGACUACCCCGGGGGUGGAUCCGGGAUCGCCCCUCCGACGAUCAAGUCAGUAAGUGUAUUGAUUAAUGGUUGCCAAGUGUGCUGUCUAGGAUUGCGUACCUCAAUGACUGGGAAUCUGCCCGGCAUUUAUAGGCGUUGAAAAGUGCGAGGACAUUCCCUGCCAUGUAGGCACGGAAUUUAAGGCAUGUGGGCCCCACUGGGGGGGCUUCCACGCUGGAGGGGAGGAUUUAGUCCUGAUCACCGGAGGCCCAGGUUUGGGCCCAAACAUUAGCCCCACGCGAAAUACAUGGUGGGGCCCCGGUCGCCAUCGUGUGUUUCGCGAAACCCAAUGAACCCCAGGCAACUUGAGGGGCCUCAAAGACCUCGCUCGAGAUUGCGCAAGAGCCAACGAGCCCUAGGCAACUAGAGCGACUUCAGGGACCUUGCUCGGGGUUGCUUCCAGGGCCAAU